rnacentral:lncRNA from 1 species
UAAAGGAAUACCCAGAAUUGCCCAGGCUGGACUUGAAUUCCUGGAUGCAGGCAGCCCUCCCACCUCAGCCUCCUGAGUAUCUGGGACUACAGUUUGUCACAAAGAGGGGUGGCUCCUCUGGAUAAAUCACCUACCUCCUUAUUUUCUCAAUGGAAAGAACACCUCCAACCUGCCACUUCAAGCACUGAGUAGACUCAGCACCAAGUGUGGCAUCGUAGAAAAUUCAGAGAACUCGUGCCUUAAGUUGGGUGAGACAUUGUGCCUCAGUGUCGUCUGCUGUAAAAUGAAGAAAAGAGACCAAUACCAGAUAUGUGCAUGAGAGUUCAUUGAAACAAGAGCUUGGAACAGAACAGUUCUGGGAACACAGUCAGCACUGAUAAAACUCUUACUGACGAAUUUACCUAUACCUGUGUUUAAGCCUUGUGAUCUGGUGAGUAUUCAGUGAAUUCUCUCGUCUUCUUUUCCUCCCUUUGUUAGGCAAAAAUUAUACAAAUGUAAACCAGGUGAGUUUUACAGUGUGGUUUGAUGGCAGCAAGUUUGAGAGGGACAAAAUACCACUGUGACCACCUGCCAAAGUUUCCAUUUGCUAC